UACGGAGGAUGCGAGCGUUAUCCGGAUUUAUUGGGUUUAAAGGGUGCGUAGGCGGAUUAUUAAGUCAGUGGUGAAAUACCCGUGCUCAACAUGGGCCGUGCCAUUGAUACUGGUAGUCUAGAGUUCCGUUGCCGUGGGAGGAAUGAGUAGUGUAGCGGUGAAAUGCAUAGAUAUUACUCAGAACACCGAUUGUGAAGACAUCUCACGAAGCGGCGACUGACGCUGAGGCACGAAAGCGUGGGGAUCGAAC
rnacentral:rRNA from 1 species